rnacentral:rRNA from 1 species
AGGUUUCCGUAGGUGAACCUGCGGAAGGAUCAUUGUCGAGACCGAAACUAUAUCGAGCGAUUCGGAGAACCUGUGAAAUAAGCGGCGGCGGCAGUCGCCGCGAGACAGCCGUCCCCGCCGUCGCCCCCCUUGUCUGGAGGGGGCCGCGGCGGGGGACGGCUGAAACCCCAAACCGGCGCAGAUUGGCGCCAAGGUAACUAUCGAAAAGCACGAGCCCGGCAUCGGGUCUUCGUGGGGCGGAGCGGUGUUGCGCACCGCACGUAUUGACACGACUCUCGACAAUGGAUAUCUCGGCUCUCGCAUCGAUGAAGAGCGCAGCGAAAUGCGAUACGUGGUGCGAAUUGCAGAAUCCCGCGAACCAUCGAGUCUUUGAACGCAAGUUGCGCCCGAGGCCAAUCGGUCGAGGGCACGUCCGCCUGGGCGUCAACCGUCGCGUCGCUCCUUGCCAAGUCCCCACCGUCCCCACCGCAGUGGGGGGUGCCGGGCGAGGCUCGGAUGUGCAGAGUGGCCCGUCGUGCCCAUCGGCGCGGCGGGCUGAAGAGCGGGUUAUCUUCUCAUUGGCCACGAACAACGAGGGGUGGAUGAAAGCUGCCGCGGGCAAGGCCCGCGUUGUCUCGUGCCGGCCCGAGUGAAGGUCACACCCUUCGUGCGAUCCCAUCCCACGCGCCGCCCCCGUGCGGCGGCUUGGAAC